rnacentral:rRNA from 1 species
UACAGAGGUCUCAAGCGUUGUUCGGAUUCAUUGGGCGUAAAGGGUGCGUAGGCGGCGCGGUAAGUCGGGUGUGAAAUCUCGGGGCUUAACUCCGAAACUGCAUUCGAUACUACCGUGCUUGAGGACUGGAGAGGAGACUGGAAUUUACGGUGUAGCGGUGAAAUGCGUAGAUAUCGUAAGGAAGACCAGUGGCGAAGGCGGGUCUCUGGACAGUUCCUGACACUGAGGCACGAAGGCCAGGGGAGCAAACGGG